UCCCCAACUCCCCAAGCGACAUCCUCUCUCCCCUCCCUGCCGUCCCUCAAGACGCCCUCGUUGGCGCACUCUUAAUCGGAGCGCCGUCCGCUAGAAGCCGGAGUCGGGAAGGAGAGCAGCCACCAGCGGGGGAGACCACAAGGGGAGGCGCAGUUGUGCUGCUCUCUCUGGUCGCCGGCAACACCUCGCGGGAGGGCGCGCACAACGGGGAAGGUAGCGGCUGGAUCCGUGCGCGGGUGAGGCCGGGUUUCCAUGCGGGACCGUGGCGGUCAGAUCCGGGCCACACAUGGGGGUUGGGGGCAUGGCGUCGAGGUGGGUGCUUCCGUCGAGGUCUGAGCCGGAAACACCUCCGUUGAGGACUCCGGGUAUCGCCACCGAUGACGACCAUUGAGCACCGAGCUGGAAACGCCGCCAGCAAGGCCGAUUAUUGUGGCCGCGCCUGCCCACUGCCAAUCUUCCAUCUCUGUUGUGUUUCCAGCGGCCGGAGAACUCCUACAGGUGCAUGCAUGCCUCCUGCGAUAUGGUAUUUCAAAGACAUAUCCUGAUCAUCUUGGUUAUGCUCACGUAUGGAGGCAAUCUGAAUUAAAGUAAGAAUUCUAUGGUGUGUGGGGAAGCAAUUGUUCAUCUCUACGUUAACGUAUAGAAGAAUUUGUUCAGACUUCAGAAAAGUCUGGUUGAGGAGACAGCAACACCCAGCAGUCUGCACUACACACUUGACAUAUGUGCAAAGGGGGAGUCUGCGGUCGCCAUGGCCGAGUGGUACAUCGUUCGUUCGUCGUUCAUUCAGUGUCUUCAGUAAGCAACUAUUCGAAGCAUUUUUUUCAAAGCUAACACCAACUUAAAACUAAUAGACAGUUUAUGUGGAGAAGCAAUUGUUCAUCUCUACGUUAACGUAUAGGUAUGGAGUUGCUUACUGUUACUUCAAAUUAGCAAGACUGACUAAUACUUGCUACAUAGUGAUUAACAUACCACUAAAUAUAAUAUCUCAUGGUAUGGAGAAAUGCAGAAGAAUUUGUUCAGACUUCAGAAAAGUCUGGUUGAGGAGACAGCAACACCCAGCAGUCUGCACUACACACUUGACAUAUGUGCAAAGGUGAAAAUUGCCCUUUUCUUGGUGCUUCUAAUAAGUAUGUACUUUGUGAUGCUUUUGUUUUGAUACAGUUUGUCAUGAUAUAUCUCUACUCCUAAAGGAGGAGUCUGCGGUCGCCAUGGUCGAGUGGUACAUCGUUCAUUCGUCGUUCAUUCAGUGUCUUCAGUAAGCAACUAUUCGAAUCAUUUUUUUCAAAGCUAACACCAACUUAAAACUAAUAGACAGUUUAUGUGGAGAAGCAAUUGUUCAUCUCUACGUUAACGUAUAGGUAUGGAGUUGCUUACUGUUACUUCAAAUUAGCAAGACUGACUAAUACUUGCUACAUAGUGAUUAACAUACCACUAAAUAUAAUAUCUCAUGGUAUGGAGAAAUGCAGAAGAAUUUGUUCAGACUUCAGAAAAGUCUGGUUGAGGAGACAGCAACACCCAGCAGUCUGCACUACACACUUGACAUAUGUGCAAAGGUGAAAAUUGCCCUUUUCUUGGUGCUUCUAAUAAGUAUGUACUUUGUGAUGCUUUUGUUUUGAUACAGUUUGUCAUGAUAUAUCUCUACUCCUAAAGGGGAAGCCUGCGGUCGCCAUGGUCGAAUGGUACAUCAUUCGUUUGUCGUUCAUUCAGUGUCUUCAGUAAACAACUAUUCGAAACAUUUUUUUUCAAAGCUAACACCAAUUAGGAGACGACGAGAUGGGUGUGGUUAAAGAUAUGGUUAGAUACCAGUUCUUCUAAACCAAUUUUUUUCACAUGGCACAUUAUUGCAAAUAUACUACUGCUAAAUUUGCUACUAUCAGGAGAGGGAUGGUAGCUGAAGUUGAUUUAUUUUAUACUCCUAAAAAAGAACUUCCUCUAAGUUAUGUAGGUUAACCUGUUGUCUUGUUAGCAUGGACACAGCAAAACUUCAGGUCUUGGAAGAAAAGUUCAGUUUGGUGUCUGGACUUGGAGAUACCCUUUUUUCAGUCUCCAAGGUGUUUCAGAUGUUGUGGUAGCACCGCCAUUCAUUUAUGUAGGCAAUGUCAAGACUUCACUAACUAAUCUCAUUGAGAGGUUUCUAACAAGAAUAUAUGGAUUGGGAAAGGAGGAGCUUUCCCUGCACCAAUCAGGUUGGAUACUGAAAGCUAAACUUGUCCAGCUUGUGUUCUCUUGUACACAAGAGGUUGCAAAUUAUUUCGACAAAAAAACACUCUUGAUGAUUGGCUUUAUUACAAUCUUGUAAACAAUGAGGGUACAAAAGGUUGAGCCUAUUUGUGUUCCUUUUUACUUUCAUUCGGAGUUAUUUUUACAAUGGAAAACUCAUG